AAGUCGUAACAAGGUCUCCGUUGGUGACCAGCGGAGGGAUCAUUACCAGUACUAUAACUCAUAACCCUUUGUACCUUCAUACCUGUUGCUUCGGCGGCGCGCCUCUCGGGGCGUGCCCGCCGGCAUUAUCAGAAUCUCUGUUCGAACCCGACGAUACUUCUGAGUGUUCUAAGCGAACUGUUAAAACUUUCAACAACGGAUCUCUUGGCUCCA
rnacentral:misc_RNA from 1 species